UGUAGGCUGCGUAACGAGUUAACUGAACCUUCGGGGGACGUUAACGGCGUCGAAGCGGCGGACGGGUGAGUAAUGCCUGGGAAAUUGCCCUGAUGUGGGGGAUAACCAUUGGAAACGAUGGCUAAUACCGCAUAAUAGCUUCGGCUCAAAGAGGGGGACCUUCGGGCCUCUCGCGUCAGGAUAUGCCCAGGUGGGAUUAGCUAGUUGGUGAGGUAAUGGCUCACCAAGGCGACGAUCCCUAGCUGGUCUGAGAGGAUGAUCAGCCACACUGGAACUGAGACACGGUCCAGACUCCUACGGGAGGCAGCAGUGGGGAAUAUUGCACAAUGGGCGCAAGCCUGAUGCAGCCAUGCCGCGUGUAUGAAGAAGGCCUUCGGGUUGUAAAGUACUUUCAGCAGUGAGGAAGGCGUGUACGUUAAUAGCGUGCUCGUUUGACGUUAGCUGCAGAAGAAGCACCGGCUAACUCCGUGCCAGCAGCCGCGGUAAUACGGAGGGUGCGAGCGUUAAUCGGAAUUACUGGGCGUAAAGCGCAUGCAGGUGGUUCGUUAAGUCAGAUGUGAAAGCCCGGGGCUCAACCUCGGAAUUGCAUUUGAAACUGUCGGACUAGAGUACUGUAGAGGGGGGUAGAAUUUCAGGUGUAGCGGUGAAAUGCGUAGAGAUCUGAAGGAAUACCGGUGGCGAAGGCGGCCCCCUGGACAGAUACUGACACUCAGAUGCGAAAGCGUGGGGAGCAAACAGGAUUAGAUACCCUGGUAGUCCACGCCGUAAACGAUGUCUACUUGGAGGUUGUGGCCUUGAGCCGUGGCUUUCGGAGCUAACGCGUUAAGUAGACCGCCUGGGGAGUACGGUCGCAAGAUUAAAACUCAAAUGAAUUGACGGGGGCCCGCACAAGCGGUGGAGCAUGUGGUUUAAUUCGAUGCAACGCGAAGAACCUUACCUACUCUUGACAUCCAGAGAAUUUUCCAGAGAUGGAUUAGUGCCUUCGGGAACUCUGAGACAGGUGCUGCAUGGCUGUCGUCAGCUCGUGUUGUGAAAUGUUGGGUUAAGUCCCGCAACGAGCCGCAACCCUUAUCCUUGUUUGCCAGCGAGGUAAUGUCGGGAAACUCCAGGGCAGACUGCCGGUGAUAAACCUGGAGGAAAGGUGGUGGACGACGUCAAGUCCAUUCAUGGCCCUUACGAGAUAGGGCUACCACACGUGCCUACAAUGGCGCAUACAGAGGGCAGGCCAACUUGCGAAAGUGAGCGAAUCCCAAAAAGUGGCGUAGCGUAUGUCCGCGAUUGGGAAGGUCUGCAACUCGACUCCAUGAAGUCGGAAUCGCUAGUAAUCGUAGAUCAGAAUGCUACAGGUGAAUACGUAGACCAAUGG
rnacentral:rRNA from 1 species